AUUGAACGCUGGCGGAAUGCUUUACACAUGCAAGUCGAGCGGCAGCGCGGGGGCAACCCUGGCGGCGAGCGGCGAACGGGUGAGUAACAUAUCGGAACGUACCCAGUCGUGGGGGAUAACUAUCCGAAAGGAUAGCUAAUACCGCAUACGUCCUGAGGGAGAAAGCGGGGGAUCGCAAGACCUCGCGCGAUUGGAGCGGCCGAUAUCGGAUUAGCUAGUUGGUGGGGUAAAGGCUCACCAAGGCGACGAUCCGUAGCGGGUCUGAGAGGACGACCCGCCACACUGGAACUGAGACACGGUCCAGACUCCUACGGGAGGCAGCAGUGGGGAAUUUUGGACAAUGGGGGCAACCCUGAUCCAGCCAUUCCGCGUGAGUGAAGAAGGCCUCGG
rnacentral:rRNA from 1 species